AUUGAACGCUGGCGGCAGGCCUAACACAUGCAAGUCGAACGAGUGGCGGACGGGUGAGUAAUGUAUGGGAACCUGCCCGAUAGAGGGGGAUAACUACUGGAAACGGUGGCUAAUACCGCAUACUAUCGGCUGAACCCAUAUGGGAUUAGCUAGUAGGUGGGGUAAAGUCUCACCUAGGCGACGAUCUCUAGCUGGUCUGAGAGGAUGAACAGCCACGCUGGGACUGAGACACGGCCCAGACUCCUACGGGAGGCAGCAGUGGGGAAUAUUGCACAAGGGGCGCAAGCCUGAUGCAGCCAUGCCGCGUGUAUGAAGAAGGCCUUCGGGUUGUAAAGUACUUUCAGCGGGGAGGCGUUACCCGCAGAAGAAGCACCGGCUAACUCCGUGCCAGCAGCCGCGGUAAUAC
rnacentral:rRNA from 1 species